rnacentral:rRNA from 1 species
GACGAACGCUGGCGGCGUGCUUAACACAUGCGAGUCGAACGGAAAGGCCCUGCUUUUGUGGGGUGCUCGAGUGGCGAACGGGUGAGUAACACGUGAGUAACCUGCCCUUGACUUUGGGAUAACUUCAGGAAACUGGGGCUAAUACCGGAUAGAAGCUCCUGCUGCAUGGUGGGGGUUGGAAAGUUUCGGCGGUUGGGGAUGGACUCGCGGCUUAUCAGCUUGUUGGUGGGGUAGUGGCUCACCAAGGCUUUGACGGGUAGCCGGCCUGAGAGGGUGACCGGCCACAUUGGGACUGAGAUACGGCCCAGACUCCUACGGGAGGCAGCAGUGGGGAAUAUUGCACAAUGGGCGGAAGCCUGAUGCAGCAACGCCGCGUGCGGGAUGACGGCCUUCGGGUUGUAAACCGCUUUCGCCUGUGACGAAGCGUGAGUGACGGUAAUGGGUAAAGAAGCACCGGCUAACUACGUG